CACAGCCUGGGACCCACCUGGCUGGGGAGCAGCUCUGUGGGGACGGACCUGGGAGUCCUGGUGAGGGGAAGCUCAACAUGAGCGAACAGUGGCUGCUGCGGCCAAGAAGGCCAACGGGAUGCUGGGUUGUGUCAACAAGGGCAUCGCCAGCAGAGAGAAAGAAGUCAUCAUCCCGCUCUACUCAGCGCUGGCCAGGCCACACCUGGAGCGCUGUGUCCAGUUCUGGUCCCCGCUGUACAAAAAGGAUGUGGCCAGGCUGGAAGGGGCCCAGAGAGGGGCCACCAGGAUGAUCAGAGGACUGGGAAGCUGCCGUACGAGGAUGGGCUGUGAGAGCUGGGUUUGUUCAGCCCUGAGAAAAGGAGGCUCAGGGGGGGUCUCAUCCCCGUGUACCAGGACUUAAGGGGCAGCUACAAAGGAGGUGGAGACUCCUUUUUUACACGGAGUCCCAUGGAGAGGACAAGGGGGGAUGGGCACAAGUUGCCCUUGGGGAGAAUCCGGUUGGACACCAGAGGGAAAUUUUUCACAGUGAGGACAGUCACCGUUGGAAUAAUCUCCCCAGGGAAGGGGUUGACUCGGCCAUGUUGGACACCUUCAAGAGUCGUCUGGACAGGGUGCUGGGCAGUCUUGUCUAGGCUGGGCUCUUCCUCGAAAGGUUGGACUAGAUGGUCCCUGAGGUCCCUUCCAACCCGUGAGAUUCUGCGAUUAUUUGUGAUUCUGUCAUGAAUGCAGUAUUAUCAAUACAGCAUUAUUAAUACAGUAUUAAUAAUGCAGUAAAAUUAAUACAGUAAUUAAUACAGUAAUACAUAUGAAUACAUGUAUUGUUAAUACGGCCACACGGUGGGGAUGGCUGCAUAGUGAAGACGGCAAGAGGAAUAUGAACGGGGUGUACAUGGGGAGUGAAGUGGGAGAGGCAGGAAAAUGUAAUGGGAGACAUGUUCCUUCCUCGGACUGUGAAGACAAAGAAGAAACUGGUGCCAAGUAAAGAAGAGAGGAGGAAGGACAAGGCUGGGGCUGUGAAAGGCAGUGGGGACGGGAGCAGGAGAGAAGGGCAGUCACGGAUUUUGCUUUCCAAAUUUCUGGGGUGAAAUAAAAUGCUGUUAAAACAUGUAAUGGAAAAGAGAGGAGAAAAUGCAGAUGGCAGAAAUCGCUGCCAAUUUGAAGUCAAGUCUAUCUGUCUGUGAUAGAGAAGCUGAUGGAUGGCAGACACCGACGGACAUCUAGCGCUGAUGGAUACCCGUCACCAACAGCUAUCAAACACCGAUGGAUCCCAGACACCAGCUGAUGGGGGACUGGAAACAAAACCAAGCUGAAGGAGCCUUAAUAGCGCCAGAAACCGCUACGGUUUUCUACUAUAUGCGCACAUAACGAGAAGGAGGAGACGUAGAUCCCUUCUGUCCUCUUUUUGAAUAGUUUCUCUGGCUCCAAACAGGG